GGCGUGGCGAGGGAUGCAGUGCGGGUUUGGCCAACUCGGCUGGUCCUGGUGAUCACGAGGAGGGUUCCAAAAGUUGUAGGAACUGGGGACGUUCCAGAAACACCUGCUGUAUUCUUGAGACUUUGUUUGUCCGAAGGAAGCCUUAGAGAAGACAGUCACUGUGGAGCGUAACUAGUGACAGCUUUUUUCUUAGAAGACUUCCCAGUUGUCUUUAGGGGUGGAAUCGGAAGCCCGAUGGAAAAAACAGAAUAGGAAACCUUCUUCCCUGAGAUCCCAAUCAGUUGCCAGAGUUAGAGCCCUAGGGAGGGGUUUUUCUGCAUAAUAUCUGAACGGAGUAGAAGAAUCAUUCUAAAAAAAAUAGUUUAUUUGGAAGUAACUGCCGAUGUGAAAUGUUCAUAUUUGGAGCUUGUGUUAAAAGUCCUACUCAUUUAGGAUUCAGAAGAUUGGCUUUCUGACACCGUAUUCUUUGCACUCAAAGCUUUUAGCUGUAUAGGUUUGCAGAUCGAAAAAUGGCAAAUGGGACCGUGGUAUUUCUAAAUGAAGGGAGCAAGCAAACAUCUGUGUCCCAAUUAGAGACAAGCAUAUGGCCUAUAUUGUCAUUUUCUGAAAUCAGUUGUAUUACAUCCUUUACCUGUGUUAUAGGAGUUGAUCUGCACAAAAGUACCGAGAGACAGGCAGUUUUCCGUUUCACAGAUGAGAAGUUUCAAGUGAUUGAUUUGCCCACACUUUUUUCUGACCUUGGAUUCUGCUUGAUGUUUAAAUAAUUGGUUUGUCAUUGUUACGCCCAGAUAGAGGAGUCCACCAAAGACCACCAAGAAGGCUGAAUCCGUAUGCCAAAGCAAAGAGCCUUUAUUCAAGCUGUAGUUUGGACCCUCCAUGUGUCUGACCCAGAGGCAUCUGACUUCUACGUGACCAAGGCAGGUUUAUGGCAAGCACGUGUUCGGCUGUUAUGGCUGCCAAAAGGGAAGCCGGUUCCUUCAACAUGACUUUACACACACUCUUGAGCUGGAAUUCAUUUUUGAUGAAACCUCUACAUGGCAACAGAGAAACCAGAAAGAAAGAUGCAGUCUCUGCCCUUCUGGAUCUCCAACUACCGCCCAGGAGACGAGCCAACCC
rnacentral:lncRNA from 1 species